GCCUCUGUGGUGUAGUGGUCAGCACUCUCGGAACGUGUUCGAGAGGCCUGUGGUUCGAGUCCCGGCAAGGGCA
rnacentral:tRNA from 1 species